GACGAACGCUGGCGGCGUGCCUAAUACAUGCAAGUAGAACGCACAGUUUAUACCGUAGCUUGCUACACCAUAGACUGUGAGUUGCGAACGGGUGAGUAACGCGUAGGUAACCUGCCUGGUAGCGGGGGAUAACUAUUGGAAACGAUAGCUAAUACCGCAUAAUAUUGAUUAUUGCAUGAUAAUUGAUUGAAAGAUGCUAUUGCAUCACUACCAGCUGGACCUGCGUUGUAUUAGCUAGUAGGUGAGGUAACGGCUCACCUAGGCGACGAUACAUAGCCGACCUGAGAGGGUGAUCGGCCACACUGAGACUGAGACACGGCCCAGACUCCUACGGGAGGCAGCAGUAGGGAAUCUUAGGCAAUGGACGAAAGUCUGACCGAGCAACGCCGCGUGAGUGAAGAAGGUUUUCGGAUCGUAAAGCUCUGUUGUAAGAGAAGAACGGGGGUGAGAGUGGAAAGUUCACACUGUGACGGUAUCUUAACAGAAAGGGACGGCUAACUACGUG
rnacentral:rRNA from 1 species